UCUAGGACAUGCUUGAACGGUAAAACUAGUCAAUAUCUGAGGGUUUUACGUGAUCAAAGACACCUUAAAUAAGCACAACGGUAGGAAAUGUUCGUUGAUGAGGCGCUGUAGGAAGGCAGGUCAGAUGUGUUGCAGUUUUUACAAAUGGAAAGCAAGACCCUCCAGUGGAAAAGCAAGACCCUCCACCAACAGAAAGGUUAUUACCUGCUUUAUUUCGAUACUCACUGUGUUAAGAUGGUCUGGAUCCAGCCCCACAGUAUCUUCAAGCUCCUGGCCUCCCUAAUAGAAAUGCUGUAGGGGGACCCAGCACCCCGGAAUGUGGGCGGGCUGCUGUCCUAUGAUGAAACUGAGACCCAGAAGGAAAGAGACUCCCCCAAGACCAUCCAGCUAGGACUUGAACCCUGAAGAAAGGAGUCUUCAGAUAGAUGGAAUGGGAGAAUGACAGGCAGAGAAAGAGGAAGCAAACAUUGAGAGAGUGGGGAGCCAGCGAUGAGUGCUCCCCAGGGAAGGGGCAUCGGUAAGUCAUCUCUGAGCCCUCACAGAGUCCAACCAGCCAGUUGUCAAAUGUGUCAAACUCCUAUACAUUCUUCAGAACCCCAUCUCAUGUCUCCUUUUAUGUGCAACUUUCCUUGAUCCGUCCAGCCAGUGGAGCCUCGACUUCCCUUCCCGGUUCCUCCACCCCAGACCCCUUUUUCUGUACUGUACUUGUUCACAUGGGGCAGGGGACUUUGUGCCUGGCUCUGUCUUCCCAAGGAUGGGCAGGAGCUAAGGUCUCAUGGAAGCCAGGAUUGCCUCCAAGGAACUGGCCCAGAGGCCGUGUCAGGGAACU